UUACAAAGUGAGGUACUAAAGGACAUAGGUCCCUCUUGGAUUGGUAGGAAUGUAAGAUACUAAUGUAUCAACUGUAUACCAUUUGGUAUCUCGGUACCUAUGAAAAAACAAGAAGGAAAAGAAAGUCAAAUUUCAAAAUACUAGCUGAUCUUUAUAUUUUACAGACUAGCUGAUUAGCUGGACCAAGGAUUACGAUGUGAGGUACAAGUACAUAGGUCCCUCUUGGAUUGGUAGGAAUGUAGGAUACUAACGUAUCGACUGUAUGUCCUUUGGUAUCAGUCAAAUUUCAAAAGAAAGGAAACAAAAAAAAUGAGAAAGGAGUAGAUGGGAUGUCAGGUUGAUGUCUUCUCUCCCUUGCAGCAUUGAUUCUAUAAGCCCUGGCCUCCGCCUCCACUGCCCCAUCUUUCUUCCUCCUCUCCUGACAGAUACUACAGGUCUGCAGUAUCCAGGACUAGUUUCAAAGCAUUCCACCAUAAAUUUCAGAGUAUCACCAUUUAAGGGUUUCCAUGGCUUGAAUUUUAUAAUUGAACUGGGU
rnacentral:lncRNA from 1 species